rnacentral:rRNA from 1 species
CCUACGGGUGGCAGCAGUAGGGAAUCUUUCACAAUGGGCGAAAGCCUGAUGGAGCAACGCCGCGUGCAGGAUGAAGGCCUUCGGGUUGUAAACUGCUUUUAUAAGCGAGAAAGAUGAUGGUAACUUAUGAAUAAGGAUCGGCUAACCACGUGCCAGCAUCCGCGGUAAUACGUAGGAUCCGAGAAUUAUCCGGGGUGACUGGGUGUAAAGAGUUGCGUAGGUGGCAUAAUAAGUAGCUAGUGAAAUCUGGUGGCUCAACCAUUCAGACUAUUAUCUAAACUGUUAAGCUCGAGACCGUUAGAGGUAACUGGAAUUUCUAGUGUAGGAGUGAAAUCCGUAGAUAUUAGAAGGAACACCAAUAGCGUAGGCAGGUUACUGGGACGGUUCUGACACUAAGGCUCGAAAGUGUGGGUAUCAAACAGGAUUAGAUACCCUAGUAGUC